CGGAGGAUCCAAGCGUUAUCCGGAAUCAUUGGGUUUAAAGGGUCCGUAGGCGGUUUUAUAAGUCAGUGGUGAAAUCCGGCAGCUUAACUGUCGAACUGCCAUUGAUACUGUAGAACUUGAAUUAUUGUGAAGUAACUAGAAUAUGUAGUGUAGCGGUGAAAUGCUUAGAUAUUACAUGGAAUACCAAUUGCGAAGGCAGGUUACUAACAAUACAUUGACGCUGAUGGACGAAAGCGUGGGGAGCGAACAGGA
rnacentral:rRNA from 1 species